rnacentral:rRNA from 1 species
AACGCUAGCUACAGGCUUAACACAUGCAAGUCGAGGGGCAGCAUGGUCUUAGCUUGCUAAGGCCGAUGGCGACCGGCGCACGGGUGAGUAACACGUAUCCAACCUGCCGUCUACUCUUGGACAGCCUUCUGGAAGGAAGAUUAAUACAAGAUGGCAUCAUGAGUCCGCAUGUUCACAUGAUUAAAGGUAUUCCGGUAGACGAUGGGGAUGCGUUCCAUUAGAUAGUAGGCGGGGUAACGGCCCACCUAGUCUUCGAUGGAUAGGGGUUCUGAGAGGAAGGUCCCCCACAUUGGAACUGAGACACGGUCCAAACUCCUACGGGAGGCAGCAGUGAGGAAUAUUGGUCAAUGGGCGAGAGCCUGAACCAGCCAAGUAGCGUGAAGGAUGACUGCCCUAUGGGUUGUAAACUUCUUUUAUAAAGGAAUAAAGUCGGGUAUGGAUACCCGUUUGCAUGUACUUUAUGAAUAAGGAUCGGCUAACUCCGUGCCAGCAGCCGCGGUAAUACGGAGGAUCCGAGCGUUAUCCGGAUUUAUUGGGUUUAAAGGGAGCGUAGAUGGAUGUUUAAGUCAGUUGUGAAAGUUUGCGGCUCAACCGUAAAAUUGCAGUUGAUACUGGAUAUCUUGAGUGCAGUUGAGGCAGGCGGAAUUCGUGGUGUAGCGGUGAAAUGCUUAGAUAUCACGAAGAACUCCGAUUG